UACGGGGGGGGCAAGCGUUGUUCGGAAUUACUGGGCGUAAAGGGCUCGUAGGCGGCCAACUAAGUCGGAUGUGAAAUCCCCAGGCUCAACCUGGGAACUGCAUCCGAUACUGGAUGGCUUGAAUCCGGGAGAGGGAUGCAGAAUUCCAGGUGUAGCGGUGAAAUGCGUAGAUAUCUGGAGGAAUACCGGUGGCGAAGGCGGCAUCCUGGACCGGCAUUGACGCUGAGGAGCGAAAGCUAGGGGAGCGAACAGG
rnacentral:rRNA from 1 species